UGUUGUCGAUGUUAUUUUUUUUUGUAUUCCAUUCGUUGUGUUGGCAAAUGCUAGACGUAUAAAAUUUCGUAUAUGUGUGCUUCAAGUUAAAUAUAUUGCUACUAGUCUUGGUCACGGAUGAGAUGCGAUGACUUACAACGUCCUAUCCAGCCUACAAGGUUGAUUCACAGAUUUUCGUUGGAACUUAAUUUUUUUCGAAGUUUCUCAUUCGCUCGAAAGUCACAAAAUUUACGAAAUUAAUAGAAAUUUCAGUAAUUAACAUCAUUGACACGGUUACAAAUCGAAAAUCAUGAACAACAAACACAACCAUGGAAGUCUCAAUUUCUGGGACGCUCUUAAAUGCCAUACCACAUACACAGGGAAAACGUUCUCGUCACACAACACCACAGUAAGCACAAAAAAAUCAAUUAAAAUUCUGUCGAAACCGAGCCCGACUAACAACUCCAUUUUCUUUUUGAAUUGAUUUCUCUUUAAAUUUGGGUUUUUCAAUUGAAAUUCCUACAAUCCGUAUGAACGACUCCCUGUAAUCAUCCGGCAAUGCAACGUCCUACCACCGGCCUAGUGAAACGAAAAUGCACCAUAUUUUUGGAUUACAUCGCAAGUCACACAAAAGCGAAGCCUUUCAUUUCGGAGACCAUUUUUUUAUCACAAAUUACCAAUCAUCCAAUUUGAUUAAUUCCUCCGGUUUUUUGGUACGCGUUUCGGCCUUUAAUUUUAACACUUGAGGAUACAAUUGCAACACAUAAUCGAACUGUUUAGAAU